CAUCUUCGGGUUGUGAGGUUAAGCGACUAAGCGUACACGGUGGAUGCCCUGGCAGUCAGAGGCGAUGAAGGACGUGCUAAUCUGCGAUAAGCGUCGGUAAGGUGAUAUGAACCGUUAUAACC
rnacentral:rRNA from 1 species